rnacentral:rRNA from 1 species
UACGAAGGGGCUAGCGUUGCUCGGAAUUACUGGGCGUAAAGCGCACGUAGGCGGUCUUUAAGUCGGGGGUGAAAUCCUGGAGCUCAACUCCAGAACUGCCUUUGAUACUGAAGAUCUUGAGUUCGGGAGAGGUGAGUGGAACUGCGAGUGUAGAGGUGAAAUUCGUAGAUAUUCGCAAGAACACCAGUGGCGAAGGCGGCUCACUGGCCCGAUACUGACGCUGAGGCACGAAAGCGUGGGGAGCAACA